rnacentral:rRNA from 1 species
AUUGAACGCUGGCGGCAGGCCUAACACAUGCAAGUCGAGCGAGUGGCGGACGGGUGAGUAAUGUAUGGGGACUGCCCUAUAGAGGGGGAUAACUACUGGAAACGGUGGAUAAUACCGCAUACUAUCGGAUAACCCAUAUGGGAUUAGCUAGUAGGUGGGGUAAAGGCUCACCUAGGCGACGAUCUCUAGCUGGUCUGAGAGGAUGAGCAGCCACACUGGGACUGAGACACGGCCCAGACUCCUACGGAGGCAGCAGUGGGGAAUAUUGCACAAUGGGCGCAAGCCUGAGGCAGCCAUGCCGCGGGUAUGAAGAGGGCCUUAGGGUUGUAAAGUACUUUCAGCUGUUAGGCGGUGCCCGCAGAAGUAGCACCGGCUAACUCCGUGCCAGCAGCCGCGGUAAUUC